AACGAACGCUGGCGGCACGUUUUAAGCAUGCAAGUCGAAUGGCAGUGGGGGCAACCCCAUGGGAAUGGCGAACGGGUGAGUAACACGUAGGUGAUCUGCCUGACGGAUGGGGAUAGCUUGUGGAAACACAGGGUAAUACCGAAUGAGCUGACGAGACUUUGGUUUUGUUAGUAAAGGUGCUACGGCACCGCCGACAGAGGAGCCUGCGGCUGAUUAGCUAGUUGGUGGGGUAAAGGCCUACCAAGGCGACGAUCAGUAGCCGGCCUGAGAGGGUGUACGGCCACACUGGAACUGAGACACGGUCCAGACUCCUACGGGAGGCAGCAGCUAAGAAUCUUCCGCAAUGGGCGAAAGCCCGACGGAGCGAUGCCGCGUGAUCGAUGAAGGUCGAGAGAUUGUAAAGAUCUUUUCUACAUGAGGAAUAAGUCUGGGAGGGAAUGCCUGGAUGAUGACGUUAGUGUAGGAAUAAGCCCCGGCUAAUUACGUGCCAGCCGCCGCAGUAA
rnacentral:rRNA from 1 species